CUAUAUAUUACAUGGACUGCCAACUCUACGCACUAAGCCUAUAUUUUUCAAUAAACAAGUCCCGUUCACGGAGGCGUCCUUGGUUGCGUGGUAAAUUGACUUCCGGUAGAUUUUCUUUUACGUAUAAAGAAACCAUUCUCGAAGAUUUUUACCACCACUUUUACUGCAAAUCAUGAAUGGAAACUGAAUUGUUAAAGAAGAUGUUACAGAGGAGCAUACUACUUCCACAAACCUGAUUUGAUUGUCACUAACUUUCAAAUUGAAAGGGAUCUAUUACAACUGCUCAUGAAUUUCGAGAUUUUACAGCUAAUAGAGGAACAAAUUUUAUCUGCUUCCACUUAAGACAAACAGCAUGGAAAUGUGCUAUUGUAAUGAGUAAAAGAUAUUUGUCAUUUAGAGUAUCAUGCAACAGCUAAUUAUCAGUCCACACAUUUCAAGAAGAGGAAAAGAACAGUAUAAGCUACAUUCAUUGAUGCAUUAUUUAUGAAGGGAUGAAAUUUCAGAUAAUAUUCUGUUUAUUUCAUGAAAUGAGAAUAGGCCUACAUCAGAAAUUGAAAUGGUCAUCUUCAGUAUUUAAUGUUUCAUCUAAAAAUGAUAAUUAUAUUAAUACAUAUUUGAUGUACAAACAAAUGAAAACCAUUCAAACACUUUUUUUGUGUGAAGUAUAGAUGAUUAAACUUGUAAGUGUCUGA